rnacentral:lncRNA from 1 species
CGGCCUUUGGUGCAGCUGUAAGUCGGAUGGAAUCCACCUUCCUGACGUCAGACCCACCCACUGGAACACUGCUCCUCUGACUGGGGCUUCCCUGAAUGGAAACUACAUGUCAUACUGCAAAAACAACUUCUGAAAGAGAAAAAAGUCUUUGUCUCAGUUUCUGCUCUCCAGAGGUAACCCAAAGAGGUAAGGAACCCAGUGAGAAAGACAGAGAGAAGUAUGGACAAGAAACAGAUCCUAAACCUGUUUUGUUUUAUUUUUGGUAGUAGUUGUUUAUUUUUGAAAACAUUCAAACCACCUGUAUUGGUGGCUGUUAUUAUGAAAUAAAUAAACUGAGAAACAACA